GCAAUCUCUUCUCCUUACCACACCCUUCUCCCUGCUUUUUUCGCCUCACAUAUUCUUAAUGCUUUCUCUGGAAGUCUAUUUUCCUCCCCCCCAGGAAUUCACCUCUCCUUUACCCCAUUUGUAAGUCUAAUUCUUUCCUCUGCUCUUGGUCUUAUAGUCUUUACUGACUUUGGGGUAGUGUUUUGGUGUUGUUGUUUUUUUUUUUUUUUUUUUUUUUAAUAUAUGUAUUAUCUACAGACAUCUCUCUAUCCUUUUUGGAAAGACUGCAGCUGAGACAGUGGUUAUUGCUGUUCUGAUGAACCAUAAACACACGCUUCAUAUUACUACUUCCCAGCAAGAAGAGAGACAUAUAACACCACAGAAACAAAGGGAAGAGCCAUUUUCCUUUUUCUCCUCAGGGCCCUGGGUACAUUAACAGGUCGUAAUUGCCCAAACCAGCCUCACAUGGGACCCUACCCACUGUCUCCCUAAGGCCCAGCUCUAUUUAAGCUCAGGUCUGGGAACCUACUUCUGUUUUGAGUUAUGGGAUAGGUUUAUCCAUGCCUACUCCUGUUUUCUGCCUAGACCUCUGAUCUAUCUCAUAGCUUCAUCUCCAGCUGCAAUUCCCUCUACUCCUGACUGGACUGCCUGGAUGGACCUGGGAGCUGAUUCAUCACCUUGCCUUACCUCAGAUUGUCACUGGAUCUUUGUUGCUAUUACUGACCCUGCCCUGCUCACCAUGCAAGGUACUACAGGAACUGUGAAUUCUGAUACCACCCAUGAUAGUAAAAGCUUAUUCUCUUCCUCGGCACACAAUCUGAUACCGACUGCAAUCUUAGAGUGCCUAAGGAAGCAAUCAAAGCACCCUCCAAACAUGCUUAACUCACUGAGUUAAGAAUAUUGGAGCUGACAGAUGAAGUUGGCCAUAAAGGACAUUGCUUGGACUGCAUGGAAGUUGAUGGACAUCUUAACGCUGUUUACUUAAUCAUCAGAAGGCUUACUGUUGUUGGCUGUCUGAAGAGGCUAUUUGACUGUGGGAAUUACUCAUUUGUCACAGGUAUUCUCUGAGUUUAUAUAACUGGCAGUUAUUUCUGCCUUCUGGCAGAAACACACUGUCGAUUGAAUGAGCCUUCUCGCUCUUUUAAAGAAGACAGAAUUCUUCAACUACUGUAAGGCCAGUUUUCCUUCUAAUUAGCAUCCUGGCUCUGGGGAGGCCUGUAUUGGUAACACUUUCAGAAGUUAAUGAAGCUAUUCUGAAAACAAUUCAACCUUCCAUGUAUAAGGCAGGUGCUUCUAAUGGAAACAAAAGGUCUUGUUUUGAUCAGGUAGAGCAUCCUCAUUUUCACCUGAGAAAUGACAGAUGUCCUUAGAUAAAUUAAAAUCUAAAUGUGUAAGGCUAAGAGUGGAAGAGCAAUACACUGUGCUUUUUUAUCUAGUAAGGAUAGCAGAUAUUAAUUAUAUAGGUCUACAACUCAGUUGAGUCUUGUCAUAAUUUUAUUUAGCUUUCAUACUGCAGGGCAAUAAUUGGAGAAGCGUAACAAAAGAAAAUAGAUUGCAACAAGAGAGAGAUGUACCCAGUACUUUGGGGCUGAGAUGAAGCAAAGAGAAAUUACUGAAAUGAAACUUCAUAAAAUUGUGCGUAUAUGUAUAUACAUAUAUAUAUAUUUUCCCAGAACACAGACUGGGACACAAAGGAUAGUAGAGACUGAAUACCACAGAAAUCACUGCAGCUGCUCCACUGACUUCAACAUACCUUGAUUUGUGUUUAAGAGUACCUGGGUCAGUUUCACGUUGCUAGAUAGGGAAGUUUAAAGUUACUUCAAAGUUUGUUGAGUGCUGCUUUUCUUCACCAAAAGUUUCUGUAAAUGGAAAGAUACAUGUUAAUACAGACUAGUUAUGCUACUGUACAUUUAUCCAGGAUUUCACUGCAGAUAACAUAGGUGUGAAGAUUCCUUUGUUAGAAAACAAACAACAACAAAAAACCGUACCACUUCAAACGCAGCACUUGUUACUGUAUACGAUGUACUUAAUCAUUACUGAAAACUCUGGAAACAUUGGCAUUAACUUUAUGGAGUGCAAAAUAGUCUUUUGAGUUGCAUGAGUGAGAUUAGCAAAAUAGUAAGCAAUUAUUUCUACAAGUAAAAAUACGAAAUUGACUUGACCACCAUCUUAGUAAGUCCCAACUAAAUCUGAUUUCAGUUUAACUUCAUAAAAUUAAAUCCGCAUCAUGUUUACUCUUCCUUAGUUUUUAUGGUUUUAAAACCACCAUUCCUUCUAUUAAAAACACUAUU